AGUCUUCAAUUUAUGAGUAAAGAAAAUACCAAUUCAGGGUGAUGCCCAAAUCCUUGCUGCUAACGUGAGAUGAAUUUUUGAGCAGGUAAAGGUUGCUUCUAAAGUGACCCUCCUACUUUGUGGGAAGCCUAGGAUUUGCAGUAUGUCCA
ensembl:snRNA U12 U12 minor spliceosomal RNA